rnacentral:rRNA from 1 species
AGAGCGGGCAGGCUUUACGGCCGCGCCCGGGCGGGCAACCCCCGCAACUCUUCAACCCUGUGUUUACCAACCACCGUUGCUUCGGCGAGCGUUGGGGCGCCCCGCGCCCCGGCCCCGGCCCCGGCCGGUGAGUUCUCGCCAGAGGCCCAACCCCAUCCUGUUCACAGUAACGUCCGAGUACACCGAUCAAAUCAAUCAAAACUUUCAACAACGGAUCUCUUGGUUCUGGCCUCGAUGAAGAACGCAGCGAAAUGCGAUAAGUAAUGUGAAUUGCAGAAUUCAGUGAAUCAUCGAAUCUUUGAACGCACAUUGCGCCCCUUGGUAUUCCGGGGGGCAUGCCUGUUCGAGCGUCAUUGCAUCCCUCAAGCUUUGCUUGGUAUUGGGCUUCGCCCCCCGUUCCAGGGCGGCGUGCCCGCAAAUUAGUGGCGGUCCAGGGAGACUUCAAGCGCAGUAAAUCUUUCACGCUUCCGAGGUCUCGCCUGCGGCCCGGCCGGAAA